AUAUCUCAACCCCCUUCCAGCUUUGUAUAGGUUGGUUUCGUGGGGCUUGGAUGUGGAGGCUUUUGCCGGCUCUCUUAGGAGGUGUCAGCUCCUCUGAAAUGCAUUAGCAGAAACUGUUUGCAAUCUGCAAAGGUGUUGAUAAUUGUCUCCACCCAAUGGAUUGCUUACUGUCUUGUUCAGCUUCUAAUCGUCCGCAUUAGUUGGACAGCAUUUUUUGAC
rnacentral:misc_RNA from 1 species